rnacentral:lncRNA from 1 species
CUUUCUAGUAACUAGUUGAUGUUAUGAUGCAUCGUUGGUCCGGUGUACGACGGCGCCUGAUGCGAUUUAUGCGUCCGGAAGCCCUUUCAGCCUCCAGGCAUGUCCCCACCUGCCUCACAGCCACCGACGCAUCUCACGGCGGGGUUCCAAUUGCGUGCGCGUAUGGAUGCUACUUUCCCCGCCGCCUUUCUAGCAACUAGUUGAUGUUAUGAUGCAUCGUUGGUCCGGUGUACGACGGCGCCUGAUGCGAUUUAUGCGUCCGGAAGCCCUUUCAGCCUCCAGGCAUGUCCCCACCUGCCUCACAGCCACCGACGCAUCUCACGGCGGGGUUCCAAUUGUGUGCGCGUAUGGAUGCUCCUUUCCCCGCCGCCUUUCUAGUAACUGGUUGAUGUUAUGAUGCAUCGUUGGUCCGGUGUACGACGGCGCCUGAUGCGAUUUAUGCGUCCGGAAGCCCUUUCAGCCUCCAGGCAUGUCCCCACCUGCCUCACAGCCACCGACGCAUCUCACGGCGGGGUUCCAAUUGUGUGCGCGUAUGGAUGCUCCUUUCCCCGCCGCCUUUCUAGUAACUGGUUGAUGUUAUGAUGCAUCGUUGGUCCGGUGUACGACGGCGCCUGAUGCGAUUUAUGCGUCCGGAAGCCCUUUCAGCCUCCAGGCAUGUCCCCACCUGCCUCACAGCCACCGACGCAUCUCACGGCGGGGUUCCAAUUGUGUGCGCGUAUGGAUGCUCCUUUCCCCGCCGCCUUUCUAGCAACUAGUUGAUGUUAUGAUGCAUCGUUGGUCCGGUGUACGACGGCGCCUGAUGCGAUUUAUGCGUCCGGAAGCCCUUUCAGCCUCCAGGCAUGUCCCCACCUGCCUCACAGCGACCGAGGCAUCUCACGGCGGGGN